GAUGAACGCUGGCGGCGUGCCUAAUACAUGCAAGUCGAGCGAACGGACGAGAAGCUUGCUUUUCUGAUGUUAGCGGCGGACGGGUGAGUAACACGUGGAUAACCUACCUAUAAGACUGGGAUAACUUCGGGAAACCGGAGCUAAUACCGGAUAAUAUUUUGAACCGCAUGGUUCAAAAGUGAAAGACGGUCUUUCUGUCACUUAUAGAUGGAUCCGCGCUGCAUUAGCUAGUUGGUAAGGUAACGGCUUACCAAGGCAACGAUGCAUAGCCGACCUGAGAGGGUGAUCGGACACACUGGAACUGAGACACGGUCCAGACUCCGACGGGAGGCAGCAGUAGGGAAUCUUCCGCAAUGGGCGAAAGCCUGACGGAGCAACGCCGCGUGAGUGAUGAAGGACUUCGGAUCGUAAAACUCUGUUAGUAGGGAAGAACAUAUGUGUAAGUAACUGUGCACAUCUUGACGGUACCUAAUCAGAAAGCCACGGCUAACUACGUG
rnacentral:rRNA from 1 species